rnacentral:rRNA from 5 species
AAAUUGAAGAGUUUGAUCAUGGCUCAGAUUGAACGCUGGCGGCAGGCCUAACACAUGCAAGUCGAACGGUAACAGGAAGCAGCUUGCUGCUUCGCUGACGAGUGGCGGACGGGUGAGUAAUGUCUGGGAAACUGCCUGAUGGAGGGGGAUAACUACUGGAAACGGUGGCUAAUACCGCAUAACGUCGCAAGACCAAAGAGGGGGACCUUCGGGCCUCUUGCCAUCAGAUGUGCCCAGAUGGGAUUAGCUUGUUGGUGAGGUAACGGCUCACCAA